AUGUUGAAGCCCGAAGAUGGCGCCAGCUGCUGCUCUGGCUGUUCCGCCUCGUCCUCCUCCGGAUCCGACACCUCCAUCGGAGCCGUUUACUGCUCCUGUCCCUCCUCCGCCGCCGCCUGCAACUCCUCCUCCUCUUCCGACUCCGGUGAGUCCGGAAGCAGCCAGCUGCGAUGUGGGCGGCGCGCGGUGCGCCUCGCUCGGAUCUCUUGCUUGAUCUGGUACCAGCGCUCUAGCAUGAGAAUAGCGUACAUGGUUUCGGACCACAUAGCGAAGCCAGAGAGCGUCAGAAAAGCAUCGGAGCGGGAGAGAGGAGGUGGAUGGGCUCGGGCUGGCGACGCGAAGAGGGAGGAGGUGGAUGGGCUAGGAUUGGGUGACGUCGACCGGCUUAAAUAG
rnacentral:rRNA from 1 species